rnacentral:rRNA from 1 species
GAUGAACGCUGGCGGCGUGCCUAAUACAUGCAAGUCGAGCGAACAGACGAGGAGCUUGCUCCUCUGACGUUAGCGGCGGACGGGUGAGUAACACGUGGAUAACCUACCUAUAAGACUGGGAUAACUUCGGGAAACCGGAGCUAAUACCGGAUAACAUGUUGAACCGCAUGGUUCAACAGUGAAAGACGGUCUUGCUGUCACUUAUAGAUGGAUCCGCGCCGCAUAGCUAGUUGGUAAGGUAACGGCUUACCAAGGCAACGAUGCGUAGCCGACCUGAGAGGGUGAUCGGCCACACUGGAACUGAGACACGGUCCAGACUCCUACGGGAGGCAGCAGUAGGGAAUCUUCCGCAAUGGGCGAAAGCCUGACGGAGCAACGCCGCGUGAGUGAAGAAGGUCUUCGGAUCGUAAAACUCUGUUAUUAGGGAAGAACAAAUGUGUAAGUAACUAUGCACGUCUUGACGGUACCUAAUCAGAAAGCCACGGCUAACUACGUG